rnacentral:rRNA from 1 species
UGCGUAGGCGGCUUGUAAAGUCAGAUGUGAAAUACCGGGGCUUAACCCCGGAGCUGCAUUUGAAACUUACAGGCUUGAGUGAAGUAGAGGUAAGCGGAAUUCCUAGUGUAGCGGUGAAAUGCGUAGAUAUUAGGAGGAACACCAGUGGCGAAGGCGGCUUACUGGGCUUUAACUGACGCUGAGGCACGAAAGCAUGGGUAGCAAACA